rnacentral:lncRNA from 1 species
ACAUUCCUGCGCUGAACUUGGCGGAGUCCAGCGGCUGGCGUACCUUCCCUGGGCUCCUCCGCUUCGGAGAGCAUGCUGUCGGGGUGCACAGCCACAGGCGCCACCGCCACGGACAUGGACGUGAGGCUGCGAGGCUCCUAGACGACAUCCGGCUUUGCCUUCCCUCUUCCGCUGGCCAGAUGUCCACAGAUGUCCACCUGGGCCUCGGAGGAACCUCGCCACAGCUGUUUGCUACACAAAUGAGAUGCCUUCGGCGGAUCUAGAGCUGGAGUGAAGAAGCAGCACCUUUUGAAGCUACAUCCUCUUUUGGCCUCUCUCAAAGCCAGACUCAGGCCUCUCCUUUUCAACGAAGCCUACGGAGGCCAGUGGUGAAUUUCUCCAAGCAACUUCUACUAUUGACCUAUAAUACAUGUUGGGUCCUUUGAAGAGGCUAUAUAACCAAUAAAAUAAUCAUUUCAACAUUUAAUUAUACAUGAGCUAUGACAACAUGUAAGAAUAAACUGUAUUUCCUCCACCCAUAAAGUAUAUUAUGGAACCAUCAAAAAAAAAACCAAAUCUGCUAUCUUCAAAGAAAAAAACAAAGUUUAAAGGAGCAUUCGCUUGCACUGGAGACCAAGGCUGGUAAUCUGCAACUAUUCAUAAAUCUAACAAGUUUCCAAAAAUUCCUUCAGAAAAGGAGCCAAGAGGAACGCAACUCUGCCAGCUGCAAGCCUUCUGUUUUACAGCGUGUGCCGAGUGGACGUACUUGCUUUAUCAUCCCCAUAAACAGAGUGUGGGGGUACAUGCAACCUUCCCAGAAGAUGUUCGAGUCAACAAACGGGCUGUGCUUCCCCAUAAGGAGGCACCUAACUAGCUCCCUCAUCAACUACACAGCCCACUACCAUUGGCAUCCAGACCCUUUAGUACGACAGAUUGAGCAACACUCCACUUCAGCUGAUGGAGUUUCCAGAACCAGGAAGGUAUCGGCAGCUGCUACCACUUGACAGAGCAAAAAGUCGCCAUCGUCACGUUGAAAACUUUGUUUCCUUAAGUUAAGAACUAACAUCCGGCUAUGCCACCAACACGCACACACUAAUAAAUCCCAGAUGGGAAUUCCAGACACCUCUUCACUCAAGCCAUGAAUUUCCUUCAGGCGACCACAUUCUAUUAAGCUGGACUCCCAGUAGUGAGCCGACCUUCAGAGACUGCCUUCAUUUACAAUACAUUGUGCUUUGUGGAGCAGGUUCUACAUCCAUCUUUGCAUAACAUGUAAUUAAUUUUGACACUUUUUUAAUGCAUGAAAAAAAUCUGUUAGCAUAAGAAGGCAGCAAAUUAAGAAAGCUGGUCCCGUGGAAGCAGAAACGAUGAAUAUUGGCCACUAGAGGCACAAGGGGAGGGAGCGGGUAAUGGGUACAAAAGAGAUUUGCACGGGAAGAAUACUACAGGAUGGAUGAAUGAACAUCAUUUACAAAAAUGAAUUAUUUAUUGUAUAAGGAACCAGAAGAGAAGAGUCCAAAGUUUCCCAUCAUAUAGAAAUGAUAACUGUUUCAGGGGUUGGAAAUAACAGUUACCUUGAUUUUAUCUUUAGACAUUUUAUAAGUAUAUGAACGUGAAAUCACCACACUGUAAGUAUGCCCAAAUAACAUUUUAAUUAAAUAUGAAGAAGAGAAAAUUCUUUUAAAACGGAA